AGAGAUGAAGAGAAGACAAAAACAGCAUAAAAGCCAAAAUCAAAAGUUUUAUAUAUCUAUGCUCAUUUGGCACCUAGCACUGCUACUGGGAAGCAUGAAUUGGGUAGAACUUUCUGUUCCCUUUGGGCUGAGGAUCGCCUAGGUAAGCAAUUUGGGAUUGUUUAGUUUUUGGCAAUACCACAUUGGUAAAUUUCUUCUUGUUGAUAUUGUAACAAAUUCUUUGCCUCACCAUUUUCUGUCCUCCAUAACCUCUCUUGUCGUUGCCUCCGUCUAUUUCGACACAGGUGGCCUGCCCUCUCUUAAUUUCUUGGUCCCAAAACAGAGUAUUCCGUGCAAAAAUGGACCAAUUCUAGGAGAAGUAUCACUAUCUGUUAUGGUCCAUUUGCCAUGCCUAGUAGUACGAGUUCCCCAGACUGUUUCACUGCUUUAGGAAACUCAGUGCUGUUAAAGGUAAUGGCGUGGAGCUUAAAUGCAGCAUUUAUUAGGCGUACGAUUACAGCCUGAUGAUGUCCCGUGUAUAACAGGAUGCUUUGAUUUGUUCCUGUGUGUUUUAUCCUAUACCGCUCACUUCCACUUAUCCAAACCGACAUGCUUUAAAUUGGUUCAAGGGUAGCACCGAAGCUGCUGUUUGCUGCACAUUUUGGCAACCACAGUGGCCCUUAAAGUUGCCUUUGUGGGGUGAGAAGUGGGGGGUGCAAUCCUUAUCUCCGGUUAAUCGUCGCUUAUACGCGGCUUCUUCAAAUCCAAUGGGCGUUAAAGGGCACUAGUCUGAUUCAGAAGUGGUUGGUUUAGUUUGGUUCAAUUUUCAACGACCUAGUUGAGUCGAUCCGCUUUCCGAUGUUAUAGAGGUAGGAGUAGGUGUAAAUUAUUGACGUUUGAUUAAAAAAAUUGAUAAACACGGAGAGUGAAAAUUAUUAAAUUAUUUUGCGAAAUAGUACGGUUGUGAGAUGUAUUACUAUUAAGUACAGGAAGGAGAGCGAAAAUAUGAGAACAAAGAGACGUGCCCUUUUUUUCAUCCUAUCUAGUGAGUAGUGACACUUUAG
rnacentral:lncRNA from 1 species